CUUGGAUUAAGCAGCAGGCUGUGACAUGUAUAUUACCUCUGAGGGGUGAUGGAAGAUGCCUCUCCCCUACAUCCCUGGCAGGUAAAAGACAAUGCCAGUUGGACAAAUGGGAACCCAUUUUUGGCUUAUCAGAAACUUGGAAACUGGCACAAAUAAGGAAACUGCGCAGCAAAGGAGACAACUAAGAGGGUGAAGAGAAAGUCUACAGAAUGGGCGUGCAUGUAUUUCUGUAGUAUGAAGACUUCAAUUCUUUUGGAUAAGAACCCCAGGGAAGUGGUCUCCUCAGUGAGUUUUGUGGAAAUAGAUGAUAACUCCCAGAGGGAGCAUGGCACUAAUCCAUGCCAAUGGCUUGCAUUCAGAGGACAAAGGGAUCUGUUGAGCAACAGGAAAACCUUACUUGACAGGCUUUAGGGUUUUGUGGCUGUUGUUGGAUAUGUGGGUGCCGAAAAGGAUAUGAAGUCUUCCCAAGGGAGGCUGGAUCUGAUCUGUGACGAACUGGAAGCAUGUGUCACAGUGGCUGAGCCCUUUAAGGAGCAAGGAUGGACAACUGAGAUUAGAGCUGGUAGGGAAUAUCUUAAAAGCCUCUGGAACUUCAUGGAGACAUUUUGCUGCACACAAAUAGAAUAGGAGGAAGGGGACAAUGACCACAUGAGGAGGUAGAAAAGACAUAUGUGUGGUAAGUGACCCAGAAGAAUGAAUUUCUGGAAGGAAAGGACACAUGCGUAGUAACUGAUCUCAAAGUUUGUCUGACUCACUGAAGCUUGUCAUGAAUGUCUUUCUUGGUCUUAAUUCAAGACUUCCAACCUUUGGGCUGUGCAGAUGUAUCCCAGUAUCUACAACUUUGCUCUAGAGCUGCCCCUCUCCUAUAGCUGGUGUUAGUCAGCUUUUCAUCACUGUGACCACAAUACCUGACAAGAACUACU